CUUCGGCCCUGAGUAAAGUGGCGCACGGGUGAGUAACACGUGGGUAACCUGCCUCUGAGAUCGGGAUAACCUGUCGAAAGACGGGCUAAUACCGGAUAAGACCACGAUUCCUGCGGGGGUCGAGGUCAAAGGUAGCCUCUAUUUAUAAGCUAUCACUUAGAGAUGGGCCUGCGUACCAUUAGCUAGUUGGUAGGGUAACGGCCUACCAAGGCUAAGAUGGUUAGCUGGUCUGAGAGGAUGAUCAGCCACACUGGAACUGAGACACGGUCCAGACUCCUACGGGAGGCAGCAGUGGGGAAUAUUGCGCAAUGGGCGAAAGCCUGACGCAGCAACGCCGCGUGGGUGAUGAAGGCCUUCGGGUCGUAAAGCCCUGUCGGAGGGAACGAAUGUUCUUAAGGUUAAUAGCCUUGAGAAGUGACGGUACCCUCAAAGGAAGCACCGGCUAACUCUGUGCCAGCAGCCGCGGUAA
rnacentral:rRNA from 1 species